rnacentral:rRNA from 1 species
AAUCUGCCCUUCACUCUGGGACAAGCCCUGGAAACGGGGUCUAAUACCGGAUAACACUUACCUCCUCCUGGGGGUUGGUUAAAAGCUCCGGCGGUGAAGGAUGAGCCCGCGGCCUAUCAGCUUGUUGGUGGGGUAAUGGCCUACCAAGGCGACGACGGGUAGCCGGCCUGAGAGGGCGACCGGCCACACUGGGACUGAGACACGGCCCAGACUCCUACGGGAGGCAGCAGUGGGGAAUAUUGCACAAUGGGCGAAAGCCUGAUGCAGCGACGCCGCGUGAGGGAUGACGGCCUUCGGGUUGUAAACCUCUUUCAGCAGGGAAGAAGCGCAAGUGACGGUACCUGCAGAAGAAGCACCGGCUAACUACGUGCCAGCAGCCGCGGUAAUACGUAGGGUGCGAGCGUUGUCCGGAAUUAUUGGGCGUAAAGAGCUCGUAGGCGGUCUGUCACGUCGGAUGUGAAAGCCCGGGGCUUAACCCCGGGUCUGCAUUCGAUACGGGCAGACUAGAGUGUGGUAGGGGAGAUCGGAA